GAUCUGCCCUGCACUUUGGGAUAAGCCUGGGAAACUGGGUCUAAUACCAGGAUAGGACUACGGCCUGCAUGGGUUGUGGUGGAAAGCUUUUGCGGUGUGGGAUGGGCCCGCGGCCUAUCAGCUUGUUGGUGGGGUGAUGGCCUACCAAGGCGACGACGGGUAGCCGGCCUGAGAGGGUGUCCGGCCACACUGGGACUGAGAUACGGCCCAGACUCUACGGGAGGCAGCAGUGGGGAAUAUUGCACAAUGGGCGCAAGCCUGAUGCAGCGACGCCGCGUGAGGGAUGACGGCCUUCGGGUUGUAAACCUCUUUCAGUAGGGACGAAGCGCAAGUGACGGUACCUAUARAAGAAGCACMGGCCAACUACGUGCCAGCAGCCGCGGUAAUACGUAGGGUGCGWGCGUUGUCCGGAAUUACUGGGCGUAAAGAGCUCGUAGGUGGUUUGUCGCGUUGUUCGUGAAAACUCACA
rnacentral:rRNA from 1 species